GUGGGAGUCCUUCUUUGAUAAGUAGUGGACUGAUUCAAAGCAUGUUUGAAUUAAAAAUCUUAUACUUAUUGGGUCAUAAAAAUCAUCAAUAAAUAGAGAGGGUCUCUACCUAUGGAUGCAUAAGAAAUAGCAUAGCAAUCAAAGUGAGAAAAGAGAAAGAGAGAGAGGCAUGAGAGCUAGAGGGUGCACCUUCCCCCUUGGCGUGUCCUCCUCCUCACCGCCCAUCCUUUUCAAGCCAUGGGCCCUUCUUGGGCGUCCUCUCUUGCUGGUGCGAGGCAUCACACCAGCACCUCUCCUUCCUCCUUUGAUAGCCUUCUGAAGGUAUAUCAAUUCAGAGAUUCAUCCUAUUUUUCUGCGUUGCCUGACGUGCGCGCGAAGUAGAGGACCUGCAGUUUCAGGCCUACGUGAAGGUUGAAUCCAGAUUUUGAAGAUUUGAUCCCUAAUUCUGCUAGCAAUCCAGGUAAGGAUUUAAUCCUUAUUUAGAUAGAUUUAUAAAAAAAAUUAGAUGCAAUCCUGCUUAUCCGUGAGAAACAGAUUUUUUUUCUUUCAGGUAUUUAUUCUUUUUGGUCUUUUCUAUAUGGUGUGGAUAGUUGCCAUGGUGUGAAGAAGGCUAAGUAUAGAAUACCUCAGCUUAGUAUGGAACAAGUAUAUUUCAACUCAGCCUAAACGAGGCUUAGGAUAGCUCAGCUUAUAUCAGAAUAGCUCAUCUCAGUAUAGAUAUUGCUCUUCACAGCAAGUAUAUGGCUCGGUAUGUCUCCAAAUUUACGUUUCGGAUAUGAAUCCGAGACAUCCAUGAUAUCACCGCAACACUACUCCCUACUCCUGAGUCUGAGAAUCAGACAAAAGAAGUACUAUUGAAAUGAUGUCUCGGACCUAGAGACGUCCAUCUAUGCAUCCCAUUAAGGCAUCAAGGUACCUGUAGGCAUAAGUCUUUGGCUAGUAUGAAAUUAUCCCCAAUAGAAGUCAAGAUCAGCCUUCUGCUCAUAUUUAGAAUUUUUCAAACUACUUUACAUUAUUUUUAUAAUUUAUAUCCUCUUUUAG
rnacentral:lncRNA from 1 species